rnacentral:lncRNA from 1 species
GAGCUGCUGCCGUAUAUUCAGUUGAAGCUUUUCAUCCUGCUCCAUCUUACGGAUCGUCUUGGUCAAGAUUUUGGCGUUGGACUUUAACUCCUUGAUCUUAUUCAUCCUCAGUUCACUCCUCUGAACUAAGUCGACAUUCAUGUUAACAAUUUCAGCAUGCUGAGCCUUAGUCGACUUUAGUUCUUCCUUGGAGGCCUUCACUUCUCCCUUAGCUUGGGCCAACUCUUUCUGAAGACCUUCGUUAGUAUGAAGAAGGCCUUCACGGUGAGUCCUUUCCCGAGCCAGGGCAGAUUUCAGGAGGGAAUUUUCCUUCUUCAGUGCCUCCUCCUCGGAUUCAGCUUCGAGAAAUCUGGGACGCAGACGCCCGAAUACAGCAUUCGCCUGUACAUGUUCAGUGUUAUUCAAUCAGCUUCAGAUGUGUGAGUAUGAAAAAUAAGUAAGCAAAGGAAGGAAAGAGUCAUUUACCUUAGCCAAGUAGCUCAUGCCUUCGCUGAGCAAGUCCCCAUUCGAACUGUUCCCGAACCGAUGGUCAUCGGUCUCGCGAAUAAAGGCCUCGAACAGUUGAAAGGGGAAAUUGGCGUUGAACCGAGGCCACAUGGUCGGUGGACCCAUGGCAUCGUGCUGGAAUUCGGAGGUCAUCGGUCCUUGAGGAGGAGGCAUAGGCUGACUGCGAACCGGUGAAGGAUCUGCAUGUAUUGCCUCUGGAGAAGGUGAUCGAGCUGGUAUCGGCUCGGGAGUUGAAAAAGGUUCAGAAGUCGAACUGGGCUGGCCGUCCGAAGGCUGUUUUCUUUUUCGGGACAGAGAAGGGUCGGCUUCGGCCAGCUCAGCGUCGGGUGUUUGGGUUUCAUUUGAAGGAUUGGUUGUUGAAGGUGGAGGGACGCGGAGUUCGUCGGCGGUAAGGGGAAUUAUUUUGCUUCUUAAUUUUUUAGCACGAAGGACUUUCGCCCGAUCGUGUGGAGGAAUGUCAAGGAGACUCCUCUUUUUUGGGGUUGGUUCAGAGGUUGGUGGGGUUAGUUCAGAGGUUGUUGUUGUGGGUUCAGUUGAAGGAAUUGGUUAUGGG